rnacentral:misc_RNA from 1 species
GGGAAGGUAAAAAAUACUAUCAUUUGGUCAAUCAGAAUGAAAAUUGCCUUGGGUAUCGCAAAAGGAUUGGCAUAUUUGCACGAGGACUGGAAGUAUUUAGCUUUUAUUUUAUUUUUUUUCCAUUUUAUAGUAUUGAUCUCUUGAAUUUCACAUUCCUUUCACAUAUUUUUAGGUGCACCCAGACUCAUUCAUCGAGAUAUUAAAAAUAGUAAUAUUUUUCUAGAUGAUAAUUUUGAUCCAAAGGUAUGUAUGUAUGUAUGAGUUAUAUAUCAAAUAUUGGUGAAUUAAUUAUAAGUAACGUCAAUCACAAAUGAUUGGCCUUUGAUCACUCACUGCAGCCACUAAAAAAAAAUCCUUAAUUAAUUAACACAUCCAGUGAAAUCGUGGUUUAAAAUAUAAAAUUACAAUUUUAAAAGAUGAUAGCAAAUUAUUUCGUUCAACUUGUUUCGUUUUCAAUUUAAAUUAAAUGACAUUUACUUCUAUAAAUGUACUUCCAGCUAUCAUUUGUUUUUUUUAUUCCUUCAGAUCGGAGAUUUUGGAAUUUCCAAAGAU